GACGAACGCUGGCGGCGUGCCUAACGCAUGCAAGUCGAACGGAGAUACGAUUUCGGUUGUAUCUUAGUGGCGAACGGGUGAGUAACGCGUGAACAACCUGACUCUAAGAGGGGGAUAACACUCGGAAACGGGUGCUAAUACCGCAUAAGACCACGACCCGGCAUCGGGAUGAGGUCAAAGGAGCAAUCCGCUGAGAGAGGGGUUCGCGUCCCAUUAGAUAGAUGGCGGGGUAACGGCCCACCAUGUCAACGAUGGGUAGCCGAGCUGAGAGGCUGAUCGGCCACACUGGAACUGAGACACGGUCCAGACUGCUACGGGAGGCAGCAGUGGGGAAUAUUGGGCAAUGGGCGCAAGCCUGACCCAGCAACGCCGCGUGAGGGAAGAAGGCUUUCGGGUUGUAAACCUCUGUCCUUGGUGACGAAACAAAUGACGGUAGCCAAGGAGGAAGCCCCGGCUAACUACGUGCCAGCCGCCGCAGUAA
rnacentral:rRNA from 1 species